rnacentral:misc_RNA from 1 species
GGAAGUGAAAGUCGUAACAAGGUUUCCGUAGGUGAACCUGCGGAAGGAUCAUUAAAAAUGAAGCCGGGAAACCGGUCCUUCUCACCCUUGAUUAUCUCAAUUUGUUGCUUUGGUGGGCCGCGCAAGCACCGGCUUCGGCUGGAUCGUGCCCGCCAGAGGACCACAACUCUGUAUUAUAUGUCGUCUGAGUACUAUAAAAUAGUUAAAACUUUCAACAACGGAUCUCUUGGUUCUG